rnacentral:ncRNA from 15 species
GCCGCGCCACUAGAUGUAUGCUCGUCCUCGCUGUCGCCGCAGGGGAAUCCGGUGGAAAUCCGGAACUGUCCCGCAACGGUGUACGUGUGGGCGCAUACCGCCCCGCCGCAGUCCGAGGACCUGCCGACAGUACGCCCGCGCCG